CAAAUUUUCCAGAAACACUGACAUGGAAACAGGAUCUUUCUUCUCCUACUGUUUGUUCCUCGACUACAGUUAUAAUCCUCUAUUUGUGACAUCAUAAUUAGUUGCCACUGGAGAAGACGAUCGUGUCACAAAAGGAUUAGGACCUAAGUCUUGGAGUCCAGCCACUAUGCUGUGGGGAAGCAAAGAAAGCUGUGGAGAGGCCACGUGGGGAGGAAUGCCAUCCUUAGCAUGGGCUGAGCUCCCAGGCAGCACCCAUCUCCAGACAUGCGAGUGAACAGGACUUCCGGCAAUUCCAGCCCCAGCCACUGAGUCACUUCCAGUUUCUCAGUGUUUCCAGGGGAGGCCUCAGACACUAUGGAGCAAAGAAAAUCUGACCCAGCUGUGCCCUGUCCAAAUUCCUGACCCAUAGAGAAU
rnacentral:lncRNA from 1 species